CUUGGGCAGGCUGGGACUGGCCAGGACACCACAGGGUUGCUAGGUGACAGACAACAGCGUGCCGAGCAGCUCCGGGGUGCACUGUGCCUCCUCCCAGGGAGGUUCCUCUCCGUGCCCCCCGGCCAUCACAGCGCAGGCAGCUGAGCCCGGCUGCAUCCCGCUUGGGACGUUCACUCUGAAGCGUAAUGAGGACCUUGAGCCUUCUGGAGCAGAGCCCUGCAACCCGGGGCACCCCAUCCCUGUCCCCCCCCCAGCAGCGCAGUGCUGGGACAUAUGGCAGAGCCUGCAGUGCCUCUCCUGACACUGUCGAUGUCCGUGGGACAGCCGGCACCAAAGCAGCAGUGGGACCCACCAGGAGAUGCAGCCCCCGGGCAGAGGGGCGGCACGAGGUGUCCUGCCCAGGGCAUGCAGCCAAGCCCCGGUGGCAGCGCUGGAAGCAGAAGGCCGUCCUGUCCCAUAGGCUGGCAGCGCUGCGCCAGGCCCUGAGGAGCAGCCAGGAGGGGAUGCAGGAGCCAGGAGCUGGAGCUCAGGGCAUGCAGAGCGAUGGGGAUGGGGCCAGGGCACGUGCGUGGGAUUGUGUGGAUGUGGAGGAGGUGCAGGUGCAGAAGGGCUGCGCUGAACGCCCAGGGAAGGUGAGGAGGAAAACGUUGGAUCUCAGAGAAGAGAAGAGGGAGCUGCAGGAGAGGCUCUGUGGGUUGGAGCUCCGGAUGCGCUCCAUGCUGCGGCAGAGGCAGGAGGCCCUGGGGCAGCUGCGGGCAGUGCUGCAGAAGGAGAGGAUGGCCACACUCAGGCGGCUGCAGGAGAGCCUGGAGAAGGUGAAUGGGACCAUCUGUGUCUGUCAGAACUGUCACCCAGAGGAGCUGGCAGCCCCAGGAGCCCUGAAGGAGCCACUGACCCCAGAGAGAGCCCUGCGGGAGGCAGCGACGUGUGUGUGGGAUCCAGCCCGGCCACCAUCUCCUUCCCCUUCUACACCUGGGUUGAGCCAUGCUACAGGUGCACAGAGAAGGGGUGAGCACCUGUGCCACCGCUCAGCCUCUUCCCUGCCCCCAAGCACUGUGCCCCGCCUCCAGCAGCAACACCACACGGCGCUGGGGGUCCUGCACCACGUCCAGCGCUGCCUGCGGGAGCUGCAAGUAGAGGACCUCGGUGUGCUGGGAGCAGAGCUGGGCACCACAGCAAAUGAGGAGAGGUUCCUGAUGCCACCUCUUGACAUUCCUCCAAGCCCCAACAGGAACAAGCUCGCUGCUGCGACCAGGACUCGAGAUGAAGCAUGGAGGUGGUGAUGCAUCCCUCUACCUCCCUAUGCAUACCCAGGUCGACCAGUUGUGAAGCUGCUGAACGGGUCCCACGGAAUUUCCCAUGUAGAAGCUUCUCUUAGGUCCUGGCUGGGCUCCUUCCAAGGGCUGGGGACCGCGGGACAGCAUUUUGGGUGCGAUGGGUGAGGUCACGUGCCUCCACCAGGCUGCUGUCCAAGGUCCUGCCGGGAGAACCUGGAUUCCCAACCAGCAUCUUUGCUCCUCACACUCAUUUAGGAGCUUGGAAUGGAGAGGUCCAUGCUGCAGGGGUGGUCGCUCAGUGGGGUGGGAAUGAAGGUUUUGGGUUGGGGUGAGAUAUGGAGAAGUAGAUGGGGAGUAAGGGCUGGGGGAAAUCUCGUGCCUUCCCAGGUCUGGUUGGCUGGGCCACGCACAUCAGGAGUGCUUUGGGAUGGCUGUGGGCAGAAACACUUCAGGAAAAAAAGAAGUUUAAAAAUGAGGAAUUGUUCUACUUAGGAGCUCUCAAAUAAUUUUAAAGAGGAGAAACCUAUUUCUCAGUCUUCACACAUCUCAAUGGAGAAAAUGCUGUUUUUAAUUUGCAGGAGAAUGCCCAAGGAGAGUUUCUCUGCAUGCGAGGGGGGAAAUGAGAAUUUCAUGCAGUACUGAUUGCUGCACUUCCUUGCUGGAGGAGGCAGGGAGUGAAAAUGGAAAUCUUUGUCUGCUUUCUUCCCAAUCAAAAUAAAAAUGUUCCUCAUUAUAUUUUUCUGGACUGGGGAGAUUUCUGAAUUUACUUCUGAUGCACAGCUCUGUUUGUAAGCUCCCUUUAGGUAGUGGAAGGCCACAGUGAGGUCUUCCCAGGUCCUUCUCUUCACCAGGAUACCCAAAAAUGUGAUUUUUCUGCCUUACCUCAUGCUUGCAACCUUUGGGAUGCUGAUGCAACCUUGAAAUCACCCAGUGUAAUGCAAGUCCCUAUGGAAGGCAAUGCAAGA
rnacentral:lncRNA from 1 species